CUGGUUAAAAACACAGCAGCCAAUAAUUCAGUUAAUUUACCAAGUGAUUUACCCUUCAAAGCUGCAGGGGUAGCUUUCCUGAAGAGUGCAAAAACUUCUUUAGCUUUCAAAACAGUAUAUAGUACAAACAGUGAAGCUAAUAUAGACAAAUCUGAUCAUUCAUCAUCAACAAUAACUGCAUCUGAGAAUUAUAGUUCUACAGUAACCGUGGGGUCUAGGUCAACAAUUACUAUUUCUCAUCCAAGCCGUUUUUGUUUAACUGCUACACAUUCCCUGACUCUGCCAAGGAAAAGGGCAAAAUCAAAAUGAUAUCCUGAGGACCUAAGCACUGAUGAUUCCACCGUUUCAAAAGCUAAAUCACUUGUCACCAGAUUAUGGAAAAAAAAUAAAGAACAAAAAAUUAAAAUUCGAGGAUUGCAACAAGCAAAUUUGCGCCAAAGAAAUUGAAUUAGAUGUCUCAAGUCAUUAUUAAAAUACUAACAUACUAACAAAAAAUAAUAACAUGAUUUUCGAAAAAGCCCAACAUACUACAUAUUUUAUUUGACUUGUAAAAGUACUUGUUUGUAUAUUACUAUUAAUAAACUAUCUAAUCUAUUGUACAUAGUGUUUAUUCUUAGCUUUGUUUUUCAGUAUAAAUUAAUAUGAUAUAAUAAAUGGUAUUAGGUAUUAUAUAGGUCACUAUUAAAUGUCUCAAAACCAUUAUACAGGCUAAAUACUUAUAAUAAAAAUCUUAUAACCUACAAAAAACCUGCAACU